GAUCACCAGGUCAUGGGGUCAAC
rnacentral:siRNA from 1 species